GAUCACUUGGGUAGAGUGGUAUCUGCCAGAUUUCUCCAUUGUAAAGUUAAUAUUUUUUCCCUUUCUAAUUAAUAAGGAUUUUGUGGG